rnacentral:lncRNA from 1 species
CUUGCAACUCCUUCUUCUCUUUGCGAUGCCUUCUCAGCAGCUGCUCUUCCUCAUCAAGCUCUUCGGUCAAUACCGCCUCCAUGACGACCAGGUACCCCAGCACACGCGCUAGAAGAAACCUGCACCGGCUAGUAGGCACCUUCCACCCCUCAACCCUCACCCGGGGCUCCAUUGGCUACGGCUGGGACCCAGCCCCGCCUUCAAGGCGGCACCGGAUCUAAGCAAAGCCACUGCAAAGACGAGAAACUUAAAUGGGGUGCUGCGCGUGCGCGCUACCGUGACCCUGCCGUGAUGGGCGGGGCGGCAGGGGAGGAACCAGACUGCGAGCGGAGAAGCGGAGUUUGCAGCCUCGGAAUUGGCUAGAGCGCCAGAGCCGAGUCAGCCAUAAAGCUACGCGCUAGGCUCUUGGCCCUGACGUGAGGCGCGCAGAGAUGGCGUAACGGGAAUAGUUUUCAACGUCUAUUUCAUUCCCUGCUUCAGAGGACCUCUUUAAUCUUUGAUUUUGGUCCCUGUUUCUAAGAAAAGCAACUGAAAAGGUCGUAAUACCGCCCCUGAGAAAAAAGGAGCAGCGCUAAAUAAUCGAGAAAAUGCCUCCUCUUGAAACGGAUAUAGAGAUGGAAACAAGAUAUAAGAAGGAUUGAGAAUCAUAUAAUACAGGAGCUUAAACACCUAUGCGCGAUGAUAAAGAGGGUACUAUUAGAGCGCUUGGAAAAUACCAGGAAGUUGAGAGAGUUAACAGAAGGGCGCACGCUGGAUUGGCCACAAAAUCGAAUUACUGAAGUAAGUGCAAAACGACAAAUUGUCACAGAAUACAGAGAAAAGGGGAAAAGAAAUUAAGAGGAGAAAAAGAGAGAUCUAGAGGGCCGGUCCAGGAGAUACAAUCUAUGCAUAAUAGGAAUACCUGAAACUGAGGACAGAGCAAGUGGAGCUGAAACAAUAAAGGAUCUACUUGAAAAAAUUUUCCAGAAUUGAAGAACGAACUAGAUCUACAAAUGGAAAAGGCUCAUAGGAUACCUUUAAAGUUUAAUGAAAAGAAAGCAGCAUCUAGACAUAUCCGGGUGACGUUUUUGAAUUUCAAAGACGAAACAUUUUACAAGCAUCCAGUCAGAGAAAGCAGGUUACUUACAAAGGGGCAAAAGUCAGGCUGACCUCAGAUUUUUCUCCUGCAAUUCUAAAUGCCAGAAGACAGUGGAACAAUAUCUAGAGUGUUAAGGGAAAAUAAUUUUGAGCCAAGAAUUAUAUACUCUGCCAAGUUAUCAUUUCUUUACAAAGGAAACUGGAAGACAUUCUUAGAUAUACAGGGGUUAGGAAAGUAUAUCAACCAAGAACUUUCCCUGAAAAUUUUGCUGAAGGAUUUACUGCAGCUAACAGAGAACCUGAAUUAAAAUAAGAAUAGGGAGGCAAUUGUAUGAAAGAACUGAUGGUAUGCAUUAAAACUAGUUAAGGAGCAUUAAGUUUAAAUUGUUAUGUAUAGGGCAUUAAAACUAAAUACAAAAAUAGAAACAUAAGCUGGGUGUAAAAUUUCAGUUUACGUUUAAACUGGAAGGGCAUACCACAUGUUCAAUAUAUUGGACAAAUACUGUUUUAUUUUUAGCAUGUAGUAUUGUAGAUACAAAUACGCAUGUUCUUAAGCUAAACCUAAGUAAAAGGGCUUUGUCACUGUAGAUUUGACAAAUAACAUUCUAAAUGUCAAAUCUGACAAUUGGAAAACAGUACAGUUUUAUUUCCCUUAUUUUUAAGUAUAGCAGGAAAAAAAUAACAAGUUUGUCCAUGUUACUACUGAUACUGUAAAGAAACUUCCAAAUCACUGGUUUGGGAGGGGGUGGAUACAUCCUCAUUUUCUGUACAUGAUGCAUGGGGAAAAACAGUAGUUACUGCAUCAUAUAGUUCCAAGUAAAUCAUAUAGUUCCAAGUAAAUUUGACAUGGAAAUAAGUGUUAACUACAAAAAUAGAAUAUAUACAUUCCAAUGUUUGGAAAAGAAGUGGUAAAAAGAAAAAUAGCAAAAAGACACUAAAAUUAGCAAAAAGUAGAUUGACAGUACAGAUGACCUAUAAACUGGUUAAAUAGCCCUAUUACAAUUGAAAUUGGGUCAAAAAUCAAUCUCUAACCUGAGAUACAUUUGUAUAAAACAAAUGAUCAAAGAGUUUAAAGAUAAUGGAAACUAUAAAUCAUAGAAAUGGCAACAUUUUUCUUAAAAUCUAAACAUAAGACAUUUUAUGUAAAACAUACAAUAUAGGAUGUAACAUUUAACAAACUAUAUGGUAAAUAAUAUGACAUUAAUAUAUAAAAUAUAUGUUCCAGAUCUUGAUGUGGGUGAUAGUUUUACUUAUGUACAUCGAUAUACAUCUAUUUAAAAACAUGUACAUUUAAAUUGUUGCAUUUUAUGUAUUUAAAAU